rnacentral:lncRNA from 1 species
UGCCAGCCGCUACCACACCUACCACUUCCAUUAUUGUAAUUAUAUCCACCGCCAACUAGGGGUGUUCACGCUUUGGUUUUUAACCAAACUGAACCGCGAUCCAAACCAAACCAAUUAAAAAAGACCUAUAUUUGGUUAGGUUUGGUUUGGAUUUGAAUUUUAAAAACCGAUACUAAUUUGGUUUGGUUUGGUUUUACUCUAAAAUAACCGACAAAAUAACCAAACCGAACAGAUAUACAUAUAUAUUAUAAUUAUUU